AUUGAACGCUGGCGGCAUGCCUUACACAUGCAAGUCGAACGGCAGCACGGGUGCUUGCACCUGGUGGCGAGUGGCGAACGGGUGAGUAAUACAUCGGAACGUACCUUAUCGUGGGGGAUGACGCAGCGAAAGCUGUGCUAAUACCGCAUACGAUCUAAGGAUGAAAGCGGGGGAUCGCAAGACUCCGCGCGAUUGGAGCGGCCGAUAUCAGAUUAGGUAGUUGGUGAGGUAAAGGCUCACCAAGCCAACGAUCUGUAGCUGGUCUGAGAGGACGACCAGCCACACUGGGACUGAGACACGGCCCAGACUCCUACGGGAGGCAGCAGUGGGGAAUUUUGGACAAUGGACGCAAGUCUGAUCCAGCCAUUCCGCGUGCAGGACGAAGGCCUUCGGGUUGUAAACUGCUUUUGUACAGAACGAAAAAGUCUUUAUUAAUACUGGGGGCUCAUGACGGUACUGUAAGAAUAAGCACCGGCUAACUACGUGCCAGCAGCCGCGGUAA
rnacentral:rRNA from 1 species